UACGUAGGGGGCUAGCGUUGUCCGGAUUCAUUGGGCGUAAAGGGUGCGUAGGCGGUCGUGCAAGUCGGAUGUGAAAUCUCAGGGCUCAACCCUGAAACUGCAUUCGAUACUGCGCGGCUAGAGUGCUGGAGGGGAGACUGGAAUUCCUGGUGUAGCGGUGAAAUGCGCAGAUAUCAGGAGGAACACCGGUGGCGAAGGCGGGUCUCUGGGCCGAUACUGACGCUGAGGAGCGAAAGCAUGGGGAGCGAACAGG
rnacentral:rRNA from 1 species